UACAGAGGUCCCAAGCGUUGUUCGGAUUCACUGGGCGUAAAGGGUGCGUAGGCGGUCGGGUAAGUCUGAUGUGAAAUCUCCAAGCUCAACUUGGAAAUGGCAUCGGAUACUAUUCGGCUCGAGGAAUGGAGGGGAGACUGGAAUACUUGGUGUAGCAGUGAAAUGCGUAGAUAUCAGGAGGAACACCGAUGGCGAAGGCAGGUCUCUGGGCAUUAACUGACGCUGAGGAGCGAAAGCAUGGGGAGCGAACAGG
rnacentral:rRNA from 1 species